GUUUGAUCAUGGCUCAGAUUGAACGCCGGCGGAAUGCUUUACACAUGCAAGUCGGGCGGCAGCACGGGGGCAACCCUGGUGGCGAGCGGCGAACGGGUGAGUAAUGCAUCGGAACGUACCCAGUCGUGGGGGAUAACUAUCCGAAAGGAAGGCUAAUACCGCAUACGUCCUGAGGGAGAAAGCGGGGGACCGUAAGGCCUCGCGCGAUUGGAGCGGCCGAUGCUCGAUUAGCUAGUUGGUAGGGUAAAGGCCUACCAAGGCGACGAUCGAUAGCUGGUCUGAGAGGAUGAUCAGCCACACUGGAACUGAGACACGGUCCAGACUCCUACGGGAGGCAGCAGUGGGGAAUUUUGGACAAUGGGCGCAAGCCUGAUCCAGCCAUUCCGCGUGAGUGAAGAAGGCCUUCGGGUUGUAAAGCUCUUUCGGCAGGAACGAAACGGUUUGGGUUAAUACCCUGAGCUAAUGACGGUACCUGAAGAAGAAGCACCGGCUAACUACGUGCCAGCAGCCGCGGUAAUACGUAGGGUGCGAGCGUUAAUCGGAAUUACUGGGCGUAAAGCGUGCGCAGGCGGCGCUAUAAGACAGAUGUGAAAUCCCCGGGCUUAACCUGGGAACUGCGUUUGUGACUGUAGUGCUUGAGUGUGGCAGAGGGGGGUGGAAUUCCACGUGUAGCAGUGAAAUGCGUAGAGAUGUGGAGGAACACCGAUGGCGAAGGCAGCCCCCUGGGUCAACACUGACGCUCAUGCACGAAAGCGUGGGUAGCAAACAGGAUUAGAUACCCUGGUAGUCCACGCCCUAAACGAUGCCAACUAGGUGUUGGGGAAGGAGACUUCCUUAGUACCGUAGCUAACGCGUGAAGUUGGCCGCCUGGGGAGUACG
rnacentral:rRNA from 1 species